AAGUCGGAACAAGGUUUCCGUAGGUGAACCUGCGGAAGGAUCAUUGCCGAGUAAGGGUCUUCUAGGCCCGACCUCCCACCCUUGUUGUCGAACAAAUCCUGUUGCUUUGGCGGGACCGCUCGACCUCGGGUCGACUGCCGGGUCUCGUACCGGGUAAGUGCCCGCCAAAGUCCAAUCAUAAAACACUUUGUAAAACCUUUUUGUCUGAGUAAAUUGAAUAAAAUAGAUCAAAA
rnacentral:misc_RNA from 1 species